rnacentral:rRNA from 1 species
UACCAGCACCCCGAGUGGUCGGGACGAUUAUUGGGCCUAAAGCAUCCGUAGCCGGUUCUACAAGUCUUCCGUUAAAUCCACCUGCUUAACAGCUGGGCUGCGGAGGAUACUAUAGAGCUAGGAGGCGGGAGAGGCAAGCGGUACUUAGUGGGUAGGGGUAAAAUCCGUUGAUCCAUUGAAGACCACCAGUGGCGAAGGCGGCUUGCCAGAACGCACUCGACGGUGAGGGAUGAAAGCUGGGGGAGCAAACCGG